rnacentral:rRNA from 1 species
UACGUAGGUGGCGAGCGUUAUCCGGAAUUAUUGGGCGUAAAGAGCGCGCAGGUGGUUGAUUAAGUCUGAUGUGAAAGCCCACGGCUUAACCGUGGAGGGUCAUUGGAAACUGGUCGACUUGAGUGCAGAAGAGGGAAGUGGAAUUCCAUGUGUAGCGGUGAAAUGCGUAGAUAUAUGGAGGAACACCAGUGGCGAAGGCGACUCUCUGGUCUGUAACUGACGCUGAGGCUCGAAAGCGUGGGGAGCAAACAGGAUUAGA